UACAUCCAGUACCAACAACUGAGCACAC
rnacentral:piRNA from 1 species